CCUGAGAAACGUUGAAGUAGAACGCUAAACAUUAUAAUGUUGCACUUUGGGGGUUAGACUUUACAUUUGCUUUCCUCAUUGUCUCUGUAGACUUAGUGGCCUGUCUCCUUUCCUGGGGGAUGAUGACAAUGAGACCCUGAACAACAUUCUGGCGUGUCAGUGGAACUUUGAGGAGGAGGAGUUCACAGAUGUGUCAGACGAGGCCAAAGACUUCAUCACUCGACUGCUGGUGAAGAGCAAGAGCUGGAGGAUGAGUGCCACCGAGUCCCUCAAACACCCUUGGCUGUCAGACCCUGAUCUCCACUGUAAACUAGACAUGAAGAAAAAUAAGUGCCACUCUACACAUGCACCUCCAUCAAAGAGCUAGAACUACAGUGAACUCCUCACUAUCUGGGCCUUUUGGGCCUAACAUUGGACCAACGCUGCUGUACCUUUUGGCUACUGGAAACUACUCUCUGCUUUACAAUCUUGCGUUAAGCUCUGCAGUUCUGGCAUGUUGCACAAAAAGUCAUCAUACCAAUGUUACUGUCUUCAAUAGAACACAAAUCUUUAGCUCUUGGAAUGUUUCAUUUUGCCAUCUAAUUUCCGUUACAUCUUAUGGAAAACGUAAAUCUAUUAUAUCAUUUUAAUCAAGUCAAAUCAAACUUUAUUUAUAAAGCGCUUUUCAUACCGAAAGGUAUCACAAAGUGCUUUACAGAUAACAACAUUUAAAACAAUACGCCCU
rnacentral:lncRNA from 1 species